GACGAACGCUGGCGGCGUGCUUAACACAUGCAAGUCGAACGGAAAGGCUCCAGCUUGCUGGAGUACUCGAGUGGCGAACGGGUGAGUAACACGUGGGUAAUCUGCCCUGCACUCUGGGAUAAGCCUGGGAAACUGGGUCUAAUACUGGAUAUGACCUUUCCCCUUAUGGGGUUUGGUGGAAAGUUUUUCGGUGUAGGAUGAGCCCGCGGCCUAUCAGCUUGUUGGUUGGGUGAUGGCCUACCAAGGCGACGACGGGUAGCCGGCCUGAGAGGGUGAUCAGCCACAUUGCGACUGAGAUACGGCCCAGACUCGUACGGGAGGCAGGGGUGGGGAGUAUUACACAAUGGGCGGAAGCCUGAUGCAGCGACGCCGCGUGAGGGAUGACGGCCUUCGGGUAGUGAACCUCAUCCAGCAGAGACGAAGCGUAAGUGACGGUACCUGCAGAAGAAGCACCGGCUAACUAUGUG
rnacentral:rRNA from 1 species